rnacentral:sRNA from 1 species
GGUUUUAACCCAGUACCUCAAGGUACUUUGGGAGUCUGACCCACCACCUGUGAUUGUGUCAAGAACCAUAAUUUUUGGAUCGCCUUCUCGGGGUAUCCGUGAGUGCAAC